ensembl:lncRNA
GGUGUGUGUUUUUAACGGCGCUUCGUUUUUGAAUUGGGUCUGGUUAUCUCCCUUCUGUUAGCGCGAGCUCUCUCCGCCGCGGUGUUGGGGAGAGCGGUGGUGUGUGGGGAGGGGGGAGUCGACCAUGUCGUAUAAGACAUGAGAGCGUAUGUCUUACAAAGUCGCUCAUAUCUCAGGAAUGGUAAUGGCUAGAGGCGUUCUGUUUUUUUCCUCGAAAAGAGGACACUUCAGGCUUGUGCGUUGUAAAUGGGCUGUUCUAUGGGCAGGUCAGUGUCCAAUCAAAACUAUCGAGCGAUAUCACAAGGGGCUCAAAUAUCCAAUUGUAGAGCCUUUGUGCUCUGACAUAGUGUAUCAAAGAUGUCUUCUGAAGACGAGGAGUAGCUCCCCUGACUAGCUGGAUCGUCGACACGUCUGAAAAGCGGCUCUGAAUGCAAUAAUGGGGCAUAGCGGACCGUUAUCUUAGUCGGAAUAACACACAGGAUAACCUGCAACCCAGCAAAGUCCUUGUAACCACUUUUAAAGAUAAGACAGAAGUUGCUAAAAACAUUUUCCAUGUUAACAGUGCCAAGGAUCUCAUUGAUCAAAGCCUAGCCCAGCAAACUGGCUGUGUGCUUGACAGGUUGUUAAAGUAUAAUACUGAUUUCAUGGAAUACAUUGAUGUUGACAUGAAUGAGGAGGAACUGAAGGAUUUGGAUAGAUAUCACAUCUUUCUAUCAACACAAGGGACCCAAGUUGAAUGUGUGGAGGCAAAUCAAAAUCAGGCUCAACCACACACUGAAGGUGCAGGCGGUCAAUGGGAGACUGAACCUAGUGCUAGUGAAGCUUGUCAGAGUGGUCCACUGGAGAAAUGCCAAGGAGAAAAUGAUGGCGUGCACAGAUUUGAUGCAGCCAAUCUGGUGGUGCUAAUUAAUAACAAAGCCCCAAGUGUACUUGCCGAAUAUGAAAAAUCUGGAACGCUCUCUCUGGCAUCCAGAAAACUCCUUGUGAGAACAGGUGUCAGCGAUCUGGUUGAGCGACGGGG